rnacentral:pre_miRNA from 1 species
UUUAAGCGUAAGGUUUCUUUGUCCAAUGUUUAAUCAUCCAUCUUGUUAAAAAUUAUUUUAUGAUAAGUAUUUUAUUAUUGAAUGAUAAAACAUAAAUAAUAAUACUUUAUGUGUGACUUAUUCCUUUUAUAAUUUUUAAAAUAUGAUGGUUGAUCAAACGUUAGAAACAGAAAUCUAUAAAUACACUUAAA